UUUUGGUGGAGGAACCAAACUCAUCGUUGACUUGGGUGUGGUGAGGCCCAUGCUCACUGUCCUCCCUCCCUCCAAAGAAGAAGACAACCAAAGUAGUGCCACUCUGGUGUGUUUGGCCACCGGGGGCUUCCCCUCAAACUGGAAGCUGGGCUGGAAGGUGGGGAGCACCAGCACAUCCUCAGGGGUUUCAACCAGCCUGGAGGUCUUGGGGACAGACGGCCGCUACAGCUGGAGCAGCACCCUGAGCCUCUCUGCAGACCAGUGGAGGAAGGCGGGCUCAGUGAGCUGUGAGGCCAGUCUAGGUGGACAGUGCCCCGUCACUCAAACCCUGGACCCUGACCACUGCUCAGAGUAGAACUUCAGCAACACCUCCUGUUUGCAUAUGAUGUGUUUGAUGAAGCUACAUGUUUCGUUUGUUCUCAUUUUCAUGACUCUCUAUUGUCUAUUGUGCAUGCAGAUGUCAUCUGUUUAUUCAUAUUGUGUUUUCAAACCAUGCUAUAAAAAGCAAGUCUGCAGCACAAAAUAAAA